UACAGAGGUCUCAAGCGUUGUUCGGAUUCAUUGGGCGUAAAGAGCGUGUAGGCGGUCCGGUAAGUCGGUUGUGAAAGUCCAGGGCUCAACCCCUGGGAUGCCGAUCGAUACUGCCGGACUAGAGUCCGGAAGAGGCGAGUGGAAUUCCCGGUGUAGCGGUGAAAUGCGUAGAUAUCUGGAGGAAUACCGGUGGCGAAGGCGGGCAUCCUGGACCGGCAUUGACGCUGAUGAGCGAAAGCUAGGGGAGCAAACGGGG
rnacentral:rRNA from 1 species